CUCAGUGUCUCCUCUCCUUCGGGAGAACGGAAGGACGCCUGCGGCCUACUUCUGAGAAAGAGGUCAAAUUUCUGGAGAUUCAAGAUAUAAAAAAUCUUAAGGAAACCACAUUUACAUGGAUAUGAGUUGAACUUAAAUCCAAAAAAUGGGGCAGUGUAAAAAAGGUACCUGCAUCAGAUGUGAAGAUGUGUGAGAAUAGAAAACUCCGACCUACAAUACUACAGGUACAUAUGACUUGGACUUCCCCAGUGGCUGAAGGAGACAUACAUGGGUUCCA